rnacentral:rRNA from 1 species
UACGUAGGGUGCUAGCGUUGUUCGGAAUCAUUGGGCGUAAAGCGCGUGUAGGCGGCCAUUCAAGUCGGGGGUGAAAGCCCAGGGCUCAACCCUGGAAUUGCCUUCGAUACUGUUUGGCUAGAGACCGGAAGAGGUAAGUGGAACUGCGAGUGUAGAGGUGAAAUUCGUAGAUAUUCGCAAGAACACCAGCGGCGAAGGCGGCUUACUGGUCCGGUUCUGACGCUGAGGCGCGAAAGCGUGGGGAGCAAACAGG